UAGAAACUGAGAAGGGGACUAGUGUCUUGCAGUCAAUAAAGAGCCAUAAAAUCGAUAUACGAACCAAUGGUGGCAAAGUAAUUGGUCUUGGAACGCUCUAUGGAAAUACAGAUAUUCAUGCAACGGAGAAGGGUAGUGUGAAUAUAGAGAAGCUGCAGGGGACAUCUAUCAACAUAUCCACAGAAGACGGGCUCCUGAAAACUAAGUAUCUCUAUGCAGAAUCUUCAUCUCUCUCUUCAGUAGCUGGUGAUAUUCUGCUGGGAAGUAUUCAUGGUAAGAGCUGAGCUAGGGAAAUUCUCUCAAAAAUGUAGCUGCUUUGAAGAUAUUCAUAAUGUUCACAGUAAUGAAAGGACUAAUGCUGUACUCUAUUCUAUAUAGUCAGCUGUGCAUGGUAUGUGAACAAAGCAAUCCUGUAUUUGCGGGUACUUAAUUGAGGAGAGCUAACUUACCAUAUAGUGUGUUGUAUUUAUUUUUGAAAAGAAUUUUGUAAGCACGCAUAUGAAAUAGGAAACAAACAUAAAACAUAUACUAAUGAGGUCAAAAUAUUUUUCAAAGAAGCAAUGACAGUUAUACUGAAGACAGAAAAGAGACUGCUUUAUUUUACUGAUAGGUAAGGUAGAUUUUACAGCUUCUAUGAAGAUUUGUUGUAGAACUUGGCUGUAUGUCAAGAUUUUAGCAGAAAUAGUCUAUGUGUGUACUGACACUGUAUAGUAACAGAGUGGUAACAGCUUUUGUUAUCUGGGGGGAUGGAGGAGGGAGUCUCUCAUCCAUCUGCCCUUUACUGUCAUUUAUUUAGAACUUAAUCGAAUUGAGUGUCUUUUGAUAUAAACAGUAGUCAGGGUUGUAAUCUAAUGUUUAUUUUUUCUAAUUUAAUGAAGUUCCCUGACUGUACCAUAAUGCAAUUGUGAUGGUUUAACAAGUAAAGCAAAGUGAAAGAUGUACAGGCUGUGAAAAUUACUCAGGCCCAUCCAAGUUCAAGUUUCCAGCUAUACAUUUUUAUAAGCUAUUUGCUGCAAUUUUUAGCAGUUUUGUUAUCUUGUUCCAGACAAGAUUCUCUAUUGUCCAUUUAUAGUAGAAAAAGUUUUCUAAACCCAUUAAGUAAAGUUCACUUCAGCAUGCAUAGGCAGAAAUAAUGAUUUUUUGUUGUACUUUUGUAACAUGUAGGCUAUUCUGCUACUAGUACUUCUAGCCAAUAAGCUGUUUUGUUUUUGUUUUUUUCUUCUUACUUCUGUCAGUUAUGCUUCUGUGGAAUAAUCAUUUUGUGUGCUUGUUCAUGCCUCUGUGCACAUCCGGAAGUUUUUUUUAUCUUGAUACAAAGAUGAAAUAACAGCUGUUAUUGACAUACUUCCUUUGUAAUGCUUCAUUGUAAUUUCACUAAGGAACAGUGUGAAAACAAGCUCAACUGUUUCAAAAUUAUACAAGAUAUUUCUAACAUUACUUCAGAGUUAUUUUCACAAGCAGUCUACUAAAUGGGUCUGGAACACCUAACAGUAUUUUAGCUGUUUCUUUUAAAAAAUGGCUUAUGGUUUUCACACACACAACCCAAAUUUCACAGACCUGCGUGAGUCCUGUUUUGUAAUUGAAACCUGGUUUGUAUAAUGCUAGUUCUGUUGGUGCCCAGGCUUGAGUGGAAACCUUCGCUCUGGAAGGGCCUGAACUGAAUUAAAAUUAGGAACUGAAAGACUAGAAACAACUCUAAAGAAAUACUACGGUGAUUCUGUAUUAUAGACCUCAAGCAAUCCCAUAAUGGUAAUUCUGUCUUCAGUACUUUUGCUCUCCAGUGCUUCAGAUUAUGGAGGCAUGAGCAUGUUGUCAGAAGAUAAGUUCCUGUCACAAAAAACAAACACACACAAAAAAAUACACCACUGGAAUAGUGCAAAUAAGCAGCAGGCAAAAGUCUGUCUUGGCCUUUUCUAAUUAAACAAACUGUGUGUAUUAUGUCUACGUAUGUCUUACAAUGCUGAAAUUACCUGGUGGUUUUGCUAGAGAAUGAAAACUGCUUUUUUACAGAGCACCUGUAUCACUAUUAGCAGGAUGAAUACAAAUAGUAGUUUUAGCACCUGACUUCUAAUUUAUUGACUCAAUUUCUUAAUGUCUGUACAAUUUUAUUCCUUCUCUCAAUGCAAGACUGUUGUUUGUACUUUUCUAGCUAUUAAAAAUCUAAAUAGAAUUUCAGAUUUUACUUAGUUAUAUACCACAAGCAUAACUUUUAAUUUAACAUAAAGAUGCUUGUUUGAAGAGGUGUGUAUUUUCACUCGUGCUAGGAGGUAUGUGAAUGAUACUAUCUCAAAAUUACAGAAUAGACAGAUGGACCAUUUGGUGGAUAAGGAGUGGGCUGGAUGGUUGUGCUCAGAGUUGUGGUCAAUGGCUAAAUGGCCAGGAGAAGACCAAUGACAAAUGGUGUUCCUCAGGGCUGGUAUUGUGACCUGCGCUGUUCAGCAUCCUGGUUGACAAGAUGGAUGGUUGGAUUGGGUGCAUCCUUAGCAAGUUUGCUGACAACACCAAGCUGUGCGGUGUGGUUGAUAUGCUGCAGGGAAGGGAUGCCAUCCAGAGGGAUCUUGACUCACAUGAGAGGUGAGCCUGUGCCAGGCUCAUGAGCAAGUGCAAGGUCCUGCGGCUGGGAAAGGGCAAUCCCAAACUCAAAUACAGGCUGGCUAGAGAAAGGGUUAGGAGAAGCCCUGAGGAGAAGGGUUUGGGGGUGUUAGUUGAUGAGAAACUCAGCAUGACCCAGCAGUGUGUUUGCAGCCCAAAAAGUGAACCAUAUCCUGGGUUGUAUCAGAAGGGUGAACAGCAGGUUGAGGGAGGCGAUUUUUCCUCUUUGCUCUGCUCUUGUGAGACCCCACCUGCAUUACUGCCUUCAGCUCUGGGGCUCCCAGCACAAGAAGGAUGUAGUCCUGUUGAAGCACGCCCAGAGAAGGGCUUUAAGGAUGAUCAGAGGGCUGGAGCACCUCUCCUAUGAAAGAUGGCUGAGAGUUGGGGUUGUUCAGCCUGGAAAAACUAAGGCUCUAAGGUUUUGUAUUGGCUUUCCACUGCCUAAAGGGGGCCCACAGGAAGACUGGAUGGGGGCUGUAUUAUGGGGUUUGUAGUGAUAGGACAAGGAGUAAUGGCCUUCAAGUAAAGAAGUGUAGAUAUAGAUUAGACAUAAGGAAGAAAUGCUUCAGUAUGAAGGUUGUGAGGCACAGGCUACCCAGAGAAGCUGUGGAUGCCUCAUUCUUGGAUGUGCACAAAGCCAGGUUGGAUGGGGCUUCAAGCAGCCUGAUCUAUUGGGAGGUUUCUGUGCCUAUGACAGGGGAGGUGGAAGUAGGCAAUCUUUAAGGUUCCUUCCAACCCCAACCAAUUUAUAAUUCUAUGAUUUUGCAGGUCAUUGAACCUUUUUACAUAAAAGCUAAAUAACCUUCAUUUAAUAAGACAGUUAGAAUGAAGUGUCCAGAAAUGUGCUCUUAUACAGUGUUUUGGAUCUGAUGUAACUAUUAUUUAAGAUGCGCUUAGAAUGGGGGAUUUCAGUUUGCAUGGAAAUAUCAGUGAAUAUACAUGUUUGUUUCUGUUGUCUAAGCCACAAGUGAAGGGAAGGGAGUAAAUGGUCCCAGUUGAAUCUAAUCAGUCUUGCAAGGAAACAUAAAGGUAGAGGUUAGGAUGUUAUGCAUGUAGGCAUUCUUAAUUGCUCUUCUGCAUGCUUCAUCAGCGUAACCCAGCCUCCUUGAGAGUCACUGAAACAAACAGAAGAAACAGAAAUAACAUAAUUUAAAGUGAUGCCCUUAUUUAUAUUCCCAAAGCUGUCUUUUCUCCUUGGAUUUGCACUGACCCUGUCUUGCAAAACUAUAGUCUGAAGCUUUUCAUAUGUGGUAGAAAAGAUAACUCUUCAGAAGAAGAAAAACAAAUCAAAAACCACUAAGCCACUGUAAUGAAUUUUCUGUUGAAAUAUUAGGUCUUAGACUUUUCAGUGUUGCACUACCAUACUGAAUUCAACAGAACAUUAAAAUCAAGCCAGUAAUUACCUUCUUCCUUCUUUGCUGUUGAUAUAUCCAUAAAAUAGAUGGCUAACUUCAAUUGUAAGUGUUGGUCUACACUGAACAAUUAUUUGACUAAAAAUACACUUCUCUGCACUAUUUGUAGACACAGCAGGAAACUCCCAUCUGCUUUAAAAGUAACUUCUGUUCUAGCUAGAUGUUUGAAAUCAGCCUGUCACUCUAAUAUGUGUACAUUAUGCAGUUUUAGUCAUAUGCAAUGUUUGUGAUUGAUAUGAUUUUGAUUUCUAAAUGUUUAAUGUUCUUCAAGGAUCUGUUUAACAGAACAGAAGGGAGAAGGAAAACCAUAAAAACAAACAGAGCAGCAAAUCCACAAGUCCUAAGUGCUACAUUCAGAUUGUGUGUAAUCUCUGGGAGUUACUGGUUGAUGAAAUGCUAGGGUUGUUUUGUAGGUUGUAUAAAAUACUAGUAAUGAUAAGAUGGGAAGAAGGAUGAGGUAAUUAUUGUGUGCUCUAAAAAAGAAA